CCCUUAGAUGUUCUGGGCCGCACGCGUGCUACACUGAGUGGAUCAGCGGGUCAGGUUGCGCGAAAGCGUUUCCUAAUCUUUAAAUCCGCUCGUGAUGGGGAUUGACGGUUGCAAUUUUCUGUCAUGAACGAGGAAUACCUUGUAAGCGCGGGUCAUCAUCCCGCGCUGAAUACGUCCCUGCCCUUUGUACACACCGCCCGUCGCACCAAUUGAUUGGAUGACUCGAUGAAAAAUCAGGACUGAGAUUUCUUUUGCUUCAUUGCAGAGGAAGUUUUGGGAAUCUUUUUAAAUCUCGUUAUCUAGAGAUUGGUGAAGUCGUAACA
rnacentral:rRNA from 1 species